UAUUUAUUUGUUUAUAAAUUUUUAGGAUCUGAGUUGCUGUAUAUAAUGUCUAAACGAAAUACCACAAGGAUAAUCACAAGAGGAUAUACUGCUGUGAUGGAAUUACAUAAGAAGUCGAAAGAUGAAAUAGUAAGGUCUCCUUCUAAAAGAAAAGUAGGGUCAACGGUGAAAGCGAUUGAAAAAAAUUGUUACAAGAGGAGGAAAGUAAAAAAUGUAGUUUCCGACAUGAUUGUAGACAUGCAGUUAAUGAAGAACAAGACGAAGUCAAUGAAGAAUUAACGGGUAUCAGAUUCCAUGUAUUGGCUCGCCCAAUUAAACCCCCACGCAUGCAGGUUUAUGUGAACACAUAGUCACAGAUUUGAAGGGGAAGCUUACAGCGACCCAAUUCAAUCAAUUUAAAGAUACAUGUUUUGGAGCAUAUACAAAAAUGCACGUAUAUGGAGCGCAACCACAAAUGUUUAGGUGUUUCAUGGUAUGUGAAUUAGAGGACAGUUCCCCUGGUGAAUUGUUGUUUCAUAUAAAUCAUACCACGCUCCAUUUUGGUAUCAAAGAAUUUGCUAUCAUUACUGGGUUGAACUGCUUUGGUAAUAAAGAUGACUUUUUAGUUUGAUACAAGGAAGCCAAACAGAUUAAUCAAUCAGUAUUUUGAGGGUAAAAGUAUUGUUACAAAAGUGGAUUUGAUCAGUAAGUAUAAAAAAAAGGUUUGGGGUGGUGGCAAUGAUGAUGAUGCUGUUAAAUUCGCUAUUCUGUAUUUUAUUUGUACGUUCAUAUAUUCCGGCGAGAAGAAGAGCUCAUCAA